GCACUAUGGCUGCAGAACAGAUCAAGCUGAAAUGUGCGUUUCGGACUGGUGCGCUUCUGGUUGUGGUGCUACUGCAAGCCGUGGCGUAUGGGACCGCUACUGGCGUGUUUCUAAGAUAUGUACCGGACCCUAAUGUGCCUCCUGAAACAUACUUUCGUUAUGUGGCAGAUAUCGACAGCAGUAGACAGUCAACAGUGAUCCGCAUCAAGCAAGAACCGUACGUAGUGGUGAAGGUAUCUAACUUGGAGUUUUGUACGGUGAUAUGGAGCAACAAGCAUUUAUUGAGGCGUGUACCAGCAAGACGGGCAGUAAAAGACUUUUGCAGAUCGAUACGCCAGUCAGGAAAAGAGAUGGCAACUGCCACGGAAGUGACGUCCGUACUUGACGUCACCGCUACUGGCGAGUCUGGUAAAGCAUUGCGUGCCGAAGCGAGAUUGGCGGAACGACAGCACCCCUCUGCUGAAGCACUGAACCUGAAGAAACUCACAGAAUGGUGCAAGCAUCGGAAGCAUAUAGACAACAAACUGGUUCGAGUAUAUUUACCAGAUAUCUGCAGCAACUUGGGUAAAACAGCGCCCACAACUCUACCUGCCAAAUCAUUUGGACCCGUCACGGCAGAUACCACAACUGAUCCCACAACUGAAGCAGAAACGGACGUAACGUCGAAAGGAGCCUACGCUUCGCAGCCAGCAGUAAGCGGCGUGAAGCCAAAGAUGGGCGGGGCGUCCAAUUAUUCUCACAUAGACCUUGCCAUAGAAAUAUGCCAGAACCUGCACAUAUUAGAUAUUCCACAGCCAGAAAGACGUGUGAUGGGUAUCUUCUGCAGACUUCAAUAUCGUACAGAAAAUAAAGCGGUCAUGGCCAUGGGAGGUACAUCAAACACGACGCAGCCUUCGGAUCUCAAGGCUCAGCAUAGGAGAUUUUUCAAACUUAGAGUUUGUCCUCAUCUGGAACAAGCAAAGGAACUAAAAUUUUUAUCAAGCAACUUGCCGAGUUACUGCAAAGAUUUAGCUAAUGAGGGCACAGAUAUGUCAGCGGAAUCGUAUGGGACCGUCACUUUUGCCCAAGUGACUAAAGAUGCGGAUCCCAUGACUGAAACUGUGACCUUGAAGACAGCCUACACUUACAAUGCACAGUCAGCAGUAACCAGCCUGAAGCCAGAGAUGGGCGCGACACACAAUAUUUCUGACACGGAGCUUGGCCUAUUACUGUGUCAGAACUUCCAUUUAAUAGAUAAUUCCGUGCCCUUUAUGGCAAGACGGGCACUAUUACUCCACUGUAAAAUUAUGAAUCUUACAGAUACAGGAACGAGUACGGCCGCCGCCACGGAAGUGAUGUCUGCACGCAAGCUUACCACAACAGCGGCCGCUGGCACAUCUGAAGGACCUUUCGACACAAGUCGUGUCCCUGAUACUGAGGAAGCUGCGACGAGCUUGACGCAACAACAGGAACCCUCUUCACACAUCUCGUCCUUGACCAAACUCAGAGAAGUGUGCAGACAUCUGAAUCAAGUAAAGAAUAAAAUGUUUGGACCAUUUUUACCGGGGCUCUGCAAGCACGUCGAUGGACCAGACACAGAUCUGUCGGCGGAAUCGAUUGGGACCGUCACUGCUACCCUAGUGACUAAAGACGCCGAUGCCAUUACUGAAGCUGUAACUGCUGUGACCCUGAACACAGCCAACACUUACGGUGCACAGUCAGCAGUAACCAGCGUGGAACCAGAGACGGGAGUGACAUACAAUAUUUCUGACACGGAGCUUGGCCUAUUAGUGUGUCAGAACCUUCAUUUAUUAGAUAAUUCCGUGUCCUUUAUAGCGAGAUGGACUCUAAGACAGUAUUGUAAAAUUAUGAAUCCUACAGGUACGGGAACGAAUACGGCCGCCGCCACGGAAGUGAUGUCUGCACGCAAGCUUACCACAACAGCGGCCACUGGCACAUCUGAAGGACCUUUCGACACAAGUCGUGUCCCUGAUACUGAGGAAGCUGCGACGAGCUUGACGCAACAACAGGAACCCUCUUCACACAUCUCGUCCUUGACCAAACUCAGAGAAGUGUGCAGACAUCUGAAUCAAGUAAAGAAUAAAAUGUUUGGACCAUUUUUACCGGGGCUCUGCAAGCACGUCGAUGGACCAGACACAGAUCUGUCGGCGGAAUCGAUUGGGACCGUCACUGCUACCCUAGUGACUAAAGACGCCGAUGCCAUUACUGAAGCUGUAACUGCUGUGACCCUGAACACAGCCAACACUUACGGUGCACAGUCAGCAGUAACCAGCGUGGAACCAGAGACGGGAGUGACAUACAAUAUUUCUGACACGGAGCUUGGCCUAUUAGUGUGUCAGAACCUUCUUUUAUUAGAUAAUUCCGUGUCCUUUAUAGCGAGAUGGACUCUAAGACAGUAUUGUAAAAUUAUGAAUCCUACAGGUACGGGAACGAAUACGGCCGCCGCCACGGAAGUGAUGUCUGCACGCAAGCUUACCACAACAGCGGCCACUGGCACAUCUGAAGGACCUUUCGACACAAGUCGUGUCCCUGAUACUGAGGAAGCUGCGACGAGCUUGACGCAACAACAGGAACCCUCUUCACACAUCUCGUCCUUGACCAAACUCAGAGAAGUGUGCAGACAUCUGAAUCAAGUAAAGAAUAAAAUGUUUGGACCAUUUUUACCGGGGCUCUGCAAGCACGUCGAUGGACCAGACACAGAUCUGUCAGCGGAAUCGAUUGGGACCGUCACUGCUACCCUAGUGACUAAAGACGCCGAUGCCAUUACUGAAGCUGUAACUGCUGUGACCUUGAACACAGCCAACACUUACGGUGCACAGUCAACAGUAACCAGCGUGGAACCAGAGACGGGAGUGACAUACAAUAUUUCUGACACGGAGCUUGGCCUAUUAGUGUGUCAGAACCUUCUUUUAUUAGAUAAUUCCGUGUCCUUUAUAGCGAGACGGACUCUAGGACACUAUUGUAAAAUUAUGAAUCCUACAGGUACAGGAACGAGUACGGCCGCCACCACGGAAGUGAUGUCUGUACGCCAGCUUACCACAACAGCGGUCGCUGGCUCAUCUGAAGGACCUUUCAACACAAGUCGUGUCCCUGAUGCUGAGCAAGCUGCAACGAGCUUGACGCAACAACAGGAACCCUCUUCACACAUCUCGUCCUUGACCACACUCAGACAAUUGUGCAGACAUCAGAGUGAAGUAAAGAAUAAAAUGUUUGGACCAUUUUUACCGGGGCUCUGCAAGCACGUCGCUGAACCAGGAGAUGUGUCCGUGUACAAAAUAUCCACACGAUUUAUGAUCGCGUGGCUGGGCAACAACACACUCAACACGAGGUGUGGGGGCGAGGCUGACACCACAGAGGAAGUGAUGUAACAAGCCUGGCCGUAAACAGCUAAACUUGGCGCACGAAGCGUUGGCUAACAAGUGGGUGUGGCUACUCAUCACUGAUUUCAUCUAAGUACAAGGUUCGACUGCACAGCCAUAUAAGCUGAUGACAAGCUCACCUAGUGGCGAACCUAUUAAAGAAUCUAAUGACGAAUCUGUUGACGAAGCCGUUGAUGAGUCUACUGAUGAAGCCGCACAACCAACCACGCUGAUGAC